rnacentral:rRNA from 1 species
GAUGUGAAAGCCCGGGGCUCAACCUCGGAACCGCAUUUGAAACUGGCAGGCUAGAGUCUUGUAGAGGGGGGUAGAAUUUCAGGUGUAGCGGUGAAAUGCGUAGAGAUCUGAAGGAAUACCAGUGGCGAAGGCGGCCCCCUGGACAAAGACUGACGCUCAGAUGCGAAAGCGUGGGUAGCAAACAGGAUUAGAUACCCUGGUAGUCCACGCCGUAAACGCUGUCUACUUGGAGGUUGAGGUUUAAGACUUUGGCUUUCGGCGCUAACGCAUUAAGUAGACCGCCUGGGGAGUACGGCCGCAAGGUUAAAACUCAAAUGAAUUGACGGGGGCCCGCACAAGCGGUGGAGCAUGUGGUUUAAUUCGAUGCAACGCGAAGAACCUUACCUACUCUUGACAUCCAGCGAAGCCUUUAGAGAUAGAGGCGUGCCUUCGGGAGCGCUGAGACAGGUGCUGCAUGGCUGUCGUCAGCUCGUGUUGUGAAAUGUUGGGUUAAGUCCCGCAACGAGCGCAACCCUUAUCCUUGUUUGCCAGCACAUAAUGGUGGGAACUCCAGGGAGACUGCCGGUGAUAAACCGGAGGAAGGUGGGGACGACGUCAAGUCAUCAUGGCCCUUACGAGUAGGGCUACACACGUGCUACAAUGGCAGAUACAGAGGGCAGCGAAGCUGCGAAGUGGAGCGAAUCCCUUAAAGUUUGUCGUAGUCCGGAUUGGAGUCUGCAACUCGACUCCAUGAAGUCGGAAUCGCUAGU